GCUUGCCCGGCCAUUGCUGCCGGGAGGAGGGAGAGGGACUUGCCCGGCUAGUGCUGCCGGGAAGGGGGAGAGGGGAGCGCCCGGCCGGUGCCGCGGGGAGGCUGGGUAUCGGCAUGCCUGGCCGGUGCGAUCGGGAAGAAGGAGAGGGGCGUCCCUGACUGCUGCCGCCGGGAAGAGGGUGGGGAGCGUGCCUGACUGCUGCCGCCGGGAAGAAGGAGAGGGGAGUGCCCGGCCUUUGCCGCUGGGAGUAGGGAGAUGGACGUGCCCGGCCGGUGCCGCUGCGUAUAGUGAGAAGGCCGUCCCUGACUGCUGCUGCCGGGAAGAGGGAGAGCGGCGUGCCCGAUUCCAUCACUGAGAAUGAAGACCAGCAAUGCUUAUCAAGUGAGUCAGGUUUUUUUCCUUUUAAAUGCAAAUUUGUUUCCAGGGGAAAAAAAUAUAAAACCAAUAAACGAACCAUAGAUGUUGCUUUUUUAAAGUUGUUGGUUUUUUGUUGUUUUUGUUGUUUUAGUUUUUGUUUUUUUGCUUAGAUGCUUCAAUGAAAAAAAAAUUCAUAGGAAACUAAAGGAAAAAUGUACCAAUGCUAACAGCCCUUCUUUUCAAACAAGUCAGAUUUUUUUGGUAAUAUAGUUUCUUUUUUUUUCCCCUUUUCCCUCCACGUCCAGAGAUGAAAAGGUGGUUGGAUUAUUUCCCAUGGCAGACAACAAAAAUUCCCCCAUUAGUUCCUAUUUUAUGGAAGAUGUGGUCUGAACCAGAAAUUGUUCAUGACAUCUGGUUUAUCUUCAAUUGUAAUCAUUUGUAUUCAAAGACUGUCCUCUGUCCCUUCCUUCCACAUGUAAAGGAUGAGACCAUGGGACAUCCAUGGGACAGCACUGAUUGCCAAAACCGGACUUGGUUUUCAAUUAAUCUAAAAUAGGCAAGUUACAAACAUGCUGUGAGACUCGUCAGUGAGCUUGGUGUGACGGGCAAAUGCUUGAGAAAUGUCUUAGUUCUAUGCCAUGAACAUUUAUUUGUGGUAAUAGUUUAUCAACUAAUUGCACAAACAGAAAAGUACUGCUCUUUGUAUAGUAACUCACCCAAAAAAUAAUUUGUCAUAUCAUCGACACUACUAUGAGAUAGAAAUUAGGAGUUUUGGGAGGACUCUGCCUUCCUCAGUGUGGAGGUUUGUUCUGACACCCCUUAAGAAAGAGAAGGCAAGGUGGAAUGGCCCAAGCAAUAUACUCCACAGAGUAUAUAUCUCUUUGCUUAUAUCUGGUGAUGUCCUCUUUGCUUAUAGCUGGUGAUGUUGAUGUUGCUGGUCUAUAAUGAUGUGCUUUGCCACAGAGAGAUUUGCAGGUCUCUACUGUGUCUUGUGUGUGUCUUAAGAACAGCGUGCUACUAGCAUGUAAUCCACCAGGCUGAUUUUUGGGAAAAUUCUGUUGUUUUCCGUUAGAAAACAUUGCAUGCCUGAUGCCAAUUGUUUGCUUCUCACAGUGUUUUAACCAAUCACACGCUGUUUACAUCAGUAAAAGAGUGGUCUCCAAAGUGCAACACUCAAAUCAAGAAGAAAAAAUUGCUUUAUUGUGCAAGCUUCUUGUGCACACCUUAUUGUGCCUCCUCCAUCUGUAGAUGCUGACAUCUGAUCAGCAGCAACUGGUUUUAUUUUUGCUUUGUUUUCGGCUGUGAAAAUGCUGAUGAGGGUCUGAUUAGGAUGCUGCACAUACCGUUGGCAACAUCGCUACUAAAUGAGCACUCCUCAUCACUUAUAAGCAGAGUCUCUCCUCAUGAUGAAAUUGUCAUUUCAAAGCAGGGAGCCUGGAGCCUGGAAAGUGAUGGGAGGUGUUGAAGGUCUAUCCAUCUAUCCGUCUGUCCCCAUAUGUCCACACUACAGCUGAAGUCACUGGGAUGGUGGGACUGGCUGAUGUUCAACAUCGUUGCUGACAUUCAGCUGCCAUGGCUUCGUUGUCUGAAUGCCUUCCCUCCACUGACACAUUCAACGGUGCUUCACUUGUGCUGCUGAGAGCCAUUCAACUGAUAUCAUUGCACUCCCGUGGGCACUUGUUCAGCACUGCUGAUACAGCCCCAGGUUUAUUCAUCAGGUGAGCCAUUGGGACUGUGACUUGCCCAACUCUGCUCCUAGCAAUGCAGGUUUGGUUGUUUGGUCCACCCAUUUAGCCAUGUCUUUUUAAAGCUUUGUUCUUUAAUUGAGAAUAUUUUAUCUUCAUUUUAAUGCCAGGUCAGUUGUGUUCAAAAAAGGAUUAGCUGAAGAACCCUGCCAUUUACCACGCUGGUUUAAAUACAAGCAUCUGCAGAUUGAAAAAAAACACAAAAAACCCCAUAAAAGGUGUAAGAAGAAAGAAAAAAAAAAAAAACAAAGAAGCAGAUAUUUACCUGUUUUGAAAUACAAUUACUAAGAAUUGGAAUCUGAAGUGUAUAGAGCUUGGUUCAGAGAGAGAGACCAUGACUAGCCUUAUUGUUUUGGGUUCUUUGAGUUCCAUUGAUCCUAAAGAAAAAUGCGCUAAUGAAUCUAUUGAAGCCUGCCAAACUCUGGAAGACAACUUAAGUGGUCUUGCUUAUCUGAGUCAUGGUAUUAAAGUGUGUUUAUACAGAAAA